ensembl:lncRNA
CAAGAAACCAGGCCAAGAGACUAGUCCGAGAGACUGGUCCCAGAAACUGGUCCCAUCCUUUAUUGUUCAGAAGGCCUUUUAUACUUUUGAUAAAACAUGGAGAUCAAUGGGUAACACAAAAUUAUGUAGCGUUCGCAGCCUAGACUCUUUCUAUACAUCAUUUUGUAUAUAAAAGGUCUCAGGUGAUUUACAUUAUCUUCUGGCCAAGAGGCUUGUUAACACUUUUUGGCUCUCUUCCUUAAUGAAUGUUAAUUUUGUUUCCCCUGAAGUGUUUUUCUUUAAUCUACAUCUCCUUAAAGCGCUAAAGUUACAUCUCUAUAGAACAAAGGUGCAGUGGGUUAUAACAAAGAAGGUACUUAACUCAAAGAUCUAAUGUUGCUAAUACCAAGUCUACUACUUGUUUUUCUAUAUACCAACUAUAUCUAAAAACAAAGGAUUUGAAAAUUUAGCAGCAAGCAUUGGCUCAACAAAUGAAACUUUUAAUCAGUCCUAUUCUAAAGAUUUUAACUCUUCGGAAGCUCCUACAUUCCUGGGAUGUUUUAAGCUUCCUGUGCCUCCUGCGGUCAGGAGGCCUCAAACAAUCACACGCGCAGCUGUACGAGUCCUGCAGGCAGGCUAAAAAGCCAUCAGAGGGGUUUUUGGAUUUAAACACUUUCAAAUGCAGAAGACUAAAGCCCUGAAUUGACUUUUUCCAAAGAAUGUCAGAAGAGUGGAAAAGCAGAGCACAAAAACCGGCAGAUUUUUGUUGGGGUACAUGCUUAGGAAUUUCCAGAGGGGCCCCUGAAGUCUGAGCACGCCUUGCGUAUGUCAGCUUCCUUCCUCAUGACCUUGUCACGGGCGGGAUUCUUCACACUGGCUCCCGGCAGAGGGUCAUGAGCAUCCUGGCCCCUGGGGGGAGGCAGAGCAGUGGGCUCCGGCCGUGGUGAAGGAGGGGCACCUGGAGGACGUGGUUCAUCUGGCAGCGGCUCAGAAGCCCUGGGUGCUGCCAGUGCCCGAGCUGUGGGCUCUCCACUCUCUCAGUAUCCCUGUGUUCACUGAGCUACCCAAAGCUUAAGUCCAAGCUCCACCCAGGGCAGGGAGGCCUCCUGCAGAAGGCAGCUUCCUCCUCAUCCUGCUAUACCUUGUUGGGGGAUGUUUUUUCAUCGUUUCCUUCACUGUUUUGAACAGGAGGACAUUCAUAUGGCUCAGAGUAUGUCUGUGCCUUAUAGACGGCAAUUCUCCCACCUGCCCUGAGACCUUCACCUUCUGCUUACCCUCCGCUACUCACUGCAGGCAGAUUCUUCACCUGCUGAGCCAUCAGGGCAGCAGCGCUUCAGAAUCACCCGUGGUACGUGUUGCAGCGCAGAUCCGGGGACCCCUCCACCCCCUGCCCCACGCCCGCCACAUGCGCGCAGGGAUUCUGAUUCGGUAGAUACAUACACACGUUUUAUUCCCCCAGCGGUGCUGGGAGGCAUAUGAUGAUCUUCAUUCCUGGACCAGGGAUGGAACACUUGUCCCCUGCAGUGAAAGCAUGGAGUUUUAACUGCUGGACCACCAGGGAAGUUCCCCUUAACAUAAACACACACUAUUAUUUUUAUUAAUUUUGCUGAAACAUCUUAAAGUUGCAGACAUCAUCAUACUUUGCCCCUAGAUACCUCAGGAUGUCUCUCUUAAGGACAAGGACGUUUUGGGACUUCCUUGGUAAUCCAGUGCUUAAGACUCUGAGCUUUCAAUGCAGAGAGUGUGAGUUUGAUCCCUACUUGGGGAACAUUAAGAUCCCACAUAGCUCGUGGCAUGGAUUCACAACAUAUAAUAUUGUUUUAGUGCUAUUAUUAUAUGGUAAAGGGUCUUUUGUCUAAUUUUAUUGCUUGUUCAAAAAAUGUGUUUUAUAGCACAUUUUUUCCAGUGUAUGAAGAGCCUCUACCCCAG